rnacentral:tRNA from 1 species
AAGUGUUGAAGCAAAUAUUGCAAUCAGUUUCGACCUGAUCUUAGAUAAAAUCAUUUAUCCUCACUUU